CCGGGGCCGUGCCUGUCCCGUGCCUGUCCCGGCGGCGGGGCCGGGCCGGGAUGCGGCGGGGCCGGGAUGCGGCGGGCGCGAUGCGCGGCGGGGCGCUGGGGCUGGCGCUGCUCUGCGCCCUCUCCCUGUGCCCGGCGGCCCCCGAGCCGGGCUCCGGGCUGCACUCAGAUGAGGUGAACCUGCUGGACAAAAUCACUCUCCAUGCCCAGGACCUCAGCAAUGUUUCCUUUGGCUACGACCACGGCAAGUGCAGGAUCCUGGAGAUUGGGCAGUAUGCAACCCUCAACAUGCCCACCAGGGAGGCCUUUGGGGACAGGUUUGCAGACGAGCUGAGCGUGCUGCUGAAGCUCAGGUACUCCCUGAAGGAGGACACCAGCCUGGUGACCAUCCUCAGCCACCGCAGCCGCGUGCUCUUCCAGAUCAGGGUUAACCCCUACGCCCUGGUCUUUGUCACCACGAGGAGAAGACACUACGAGUUCCCAGUGUCCUUCCUGGGCGAUGGGCACUGGCACCGGGUGGCUCUCAGCAUCUCCCUGGAGAGGCUGGAGCUGCACGUGGACUGUCGGCUGGUGGACAGAGUCAGCUGGUCCAACCAUUUUGGGAUGGGAGUGAACACUGAGGGGCUGGUCAUCAUUGGAGGCCUCAUUCGAGUCCUUCGAGAUCCCCUUUAAGGGCGCUC
rnacentral:lncRNA from 14 species